rnacentral:rRNA from 1 species
UCGGGAAUUUUGGGCAAUGGGCGAAAGCCUGACCCAGCAACGCCGCGUGAAGGAUGAAGUAUUUCGGUAUGUAAACUUCGAAAGAAUGGGAAGAAUAAAUGACGGUACCAUUUAUAAGGUCCGGCUAACUACGUGCCAGCAGCCGCGGUAAUACGUAGGGACCAAGCGUUGUUCGGAUUUACUGGGCGUAAAGGGCGCGUAGGCGGCGUGGUAAGUCACUUGUGAAAUCUCUGAGCUUAACUCAGAACGGCCAAGUGAUACUGCUGUGCUAGAGUGCAGAAGGGGCAAUCGGAAUUCUUGGUGUAGCGGUGAAAUGCGUAGAUAUCUGGAGGAACACCAGAGGCGAAGGCGGGCUACUGGGCUGAUACUGACGCUGAUGCGCGAAAGCUAGGGGAGCAAAC